UACGUAGGGGGCUAGCGUUAUCCGGAAUUACUGGGGCGUAAAGGGUGCGUAGGUGGUUUCUUAAGUCAGAGGUGAAAGGCUACGGCUCAACCGUAGUAAGCCUUUGAAACUGGGAAACUUGAGUGCAGGAGAGGAGAGUGGAAUUCCUAGUGUAGCGGUGAAAUGCGUAGAUAUUAGGAGGAACACCAGUUGCGAAGGCGGCUCUCUGGACUGUAACUGACACUGAGGCACGAAAGCGUGGGGAGCAAACAGGAUUAGAUACCCCCGUAGUCCCUGAGCGGGCU
rnacentral:rRNA from 1 species